CCUACGGGAGGCAGCAGUGGGGGAUAUUGCACAAUGGGGGAAACCCUGAUGCAGCGACGCCGCGUGUGGGAAGACGGUCCUCUGGAUUGUAAACCACUGUCCCCAGGGACGAAGAUGACGGUACCUGGGGAGGAAGCUCCGGCUAACUACGUGCCAGCAGCCGCGGUAAUACGUAGGGAGCGAGCGUUGUCCGGAAUUACUGGGUGGAAAGGGAGCGUAGGCGGGACUGAAAGUUGGGUGUCAAAUCUACCGGCUCAACCGGCAGCCGCACUCAAAACUGCAGGUCUUGAGUGAAGUAGAGGCAGGAGGAAUUCCUAGUGUAGCGGUGAAAUGCGUAGAUAUUAGGAGGAACACCAGUGGCGAAGGCGGCCUGCUGGGCUUUUACUGACGCUGAGGCUCGAAAGUGUGGGGAGCAAACAGGAUUAGAUACCCCUGUAGUC
rnacentral:rRNA from 1 species